GACGGACGCUGGCGGCGUGCUUAACACAUGCAAGUCGAACGGUAAGGCCCUUCGGGGUACACGAGUGGCGAACGGGUGAGUAACACGUGGGUGAUCUGCCCUGCACUUCGGGAUAAGCCUGGGAAACUGGGUCUAAUACCGGAUAGGACCACUGCCUGCAUGGGUGGUGGUGGAAAGCUUUUGCGGUGUGGGAUGGGCCCGCGGCCUAUCAGCUUGUUGGUGGGGUGAUGGCCUACCAAGGCGACGACGGGUAGCCGGCCUGAGAGGGUGACCGGCCACACUGGGACUGAGAUACGGCCCAGACUCCUACGGGAGGCAGCAGUGGGGAAUAUUGCACAAUGGGCGCAAGCCUGAUGCAGCGACGCCGCGUGAGGGAUGACGGCCCUCGGGUUGUAAACCUCUUUCAGCACCGACGAAGCGCAAGUGACGGUAGGUGCAGAAGAAGGACCGGCCAACUACGUGCCAGCAGCCGCUGUAA
rnacentral:rRNA from 1 species